GCAUGGGUUUGGAUUUACGGCAGGCCCCUGCCCCUGGGUUGGUCAUAGUGCCUCAUGCCGGAGCAAACUGUGGCCUCGAACCAUUGCCUGGCCUCUGCCCAUAGAUUGCACAGGGGAAAAAAUAAGCAAGUAAAUA